rnacentral:rRNA from 1 species
UGUACACGCUGUGACUAGCAUAUCAAUAAGCGGAGGAAAAGAAACUAACAAGGAUUCCCUUAGUAACGGCGAGUGAAGCGGGAAGAGCUCAAAUUUGAAAUCUUCAAGGUUUUACCUUGACGAAUUGUAGUUUAAAGAAGUGUUUUCUGCUGAAGUUUUGGUAAAAGUUCUUUGGAAUAGGACAUCAUAGAGGGUGAGAAUCCCGUAUUUGACCAUUAUUUUCAGCUUUGUGAUACACUUUCAAAGAGUCGGAUUGUUUGGGAAUGCAGUCCAAAAUGGGUGGUAAAUUUCAUCUAAAGCUAAAUAUUGGCGAGAGACCGAUAGCGAACAAGUACCGUGAGGGAAAGAUGAAAAGAACUUUGAAAAGAGAGUUAAAUAGUACGUGAAAUUGUCAAAAGGGAAGCGUUUAACACCAGUGUUGUUUUCUGAAAAUCAACCUCUGUUAGCUUUAUGCAUGUUUGUUUAGACCUAAUCAGCUAUCUUUCAUGUUCUAUUGUUUGCAGUGGUGCACUUUUCAGUUUACAGGUCAACAUCAGUUUUUUUUACCGUAAAAAAGUUAAAGAAAGGUAGCUCAUGGCUCCGGUCGUGAGUGUUAUAGUCUUUUUCCUAUGCGGUAGGAGAGACUGAGGUCUGCAGUGUAGGCUAUUUGGCUAGAUACUCAGGUGCUAUGUGAUACCAUUUCAUAAACAACUUGUUGAUUAUGUUUUGUCUAUUGCAUACUCGCUUGUACUAUCAUACCUACGCUUAGGAUGUUGAGUAGCGACAUACGCAC